UACGGAGGGUGCAAGCGUUAUCCGGAUUUACUGGGUUUAAAGGGUGCGUAGGUGGAUUAGUAAGUCAGUGGUGAAAUCUCCGAGCUUAACUCGGAAACUGCCAUUGAUACUAUUAGUCUUGAAUAUCCUGGAGGUGAGCGGAAUAUGUCAUGUAGCGGUGAAAUGCUUAGAUAUGACAUAGAACACCAAUUGCGAAGGCAGCUCACUACGCGAAUAUUGACACUGAGGCACGAAAGCGUGGGGAUCAAACAGG
rnacentral:rRNA from 1 species